CAAGGGAUUCCCCCAGUAACGGCGAGUGAAGCGGGAAGAGCUCAAGCUUAAAAUCUCCAUGUUUUACAUGGCGAAUUGUAGUCUAUUGAGGCUGUUGUCAGCAUAGCGAUUUGGGAUAAGUCCCUUGGAAAAGGGCAGCAUAGAGGGUGAUACUCCCGUCUUUGCUCAGAUUGUCUAUGUGUACGAUACGCUUUCUUUGAGUCGAGUUGUUUGGGAAUACAGCUCAAAGUAGGUGGUAAAUUCCAUCUAAAGCUAAAUAUUGGUGCGAGACCGAUAGCGAACAAGUACCGUGAGGGAAAGAUGAAAAGAACUUUGAAAAGAGAGUUAAAGAGUACCUGAAACUGUUGAAAGGGAACCGUAACAUGUCCAGUGUUGUAUCUUGUGCAUAUUUCAUUAGUGGAGCAAUUUACUGGUGCCCUGUGCAUGAGUGUGACGUCAAAGUCAGUUUGUAUGCUGCGGGAGAUGGUUAGCAAGGAGGUGCGUCACUUUUGUGUCAGUUAUACCUUGUUAUCUAGUAGCCGUGGUUGAGACUGAGGUGCCUACAACAUGCUUAUAGAGUAUAUUGUUGUCUCGUUAUUAUAUCUGUUUGGAUAGCUUGCUAUGCUGAUGGACUAUAGUGGCGAUUGAUGAUGGUAUUAACUUUUUGCUGUUCGGGACUUUGACGAAAUGGAAUGUUACGACCCGUCUUGAAACACGGACCAAGGAGUCUAACAUGUGUGCAAGUAUUAGGGUGUGGAAACCCAAAUGCGUAAUGAAAGUAAAUGCUACCUGUGUAGCUUUGGUAGGAAAGGGCUGUCAUGGUCCUGGCACUAUCGACCGAUCAUGAACCUACGGGUGAAAGAUUUGAGUAUGAGCAUAUAUGUUGGUACCCGAAAGAUGGUGAACUAUGCCUGAAUAGAGUGAAGCCAGGGGAAACUCUGGUGGAGCUCGUAGCG
rnacentral:rRNA from 1 species